GAUGAACGCUAGCGAUAGGCUUAACACAUGCAAGUCGAGGGGUAACGUGUUGGAAGCUUGCUUCCGAUGACGACGACCGGCGGAUGGGUGCGUAACGCGUAUGCAACUUGCCUCACAGUGGAGAAUAACCCGGAGAAAUCCGGACUAAUACUCCAUACACUCUUAAGUACGCCUGUACAUGAGAGGAACGAUUUAUCGCUGUGAGAUAGGCAUGCGUCCUAUUAGGUAGUUGGUGAGGUAACGGCUCACCAAGCCGACGAUAGGUAGGGGUGCUGAGAGGCAGAUCCCCCACAUUGGGACUGAGACACGGCCCAAACUCCUACGGGAGGCAGCAGUGAGGAAGAUUGGUCAAUGGAGGAAACUCUGAACCAGCCAAGUCGCGUGAAGGAAGAAUGUCCUAAGGAUUGUAAACUUCUUUAGCGAGCGAGUAAGGACUUCCACGUGAUGGGAGUUUGAAAGUAGCUCGAGAAUAAGUAUCGGCUAACUCCGUG
rnacentral:rRNA from 1 species